rnacentral:lncRNA from 1 species
CUGCGGGAGAGCGCGGCCGGCCCGGGGGCAUGAGGGGAGCGCGGGGCGGGCUCGGGGGGUGCGGGCGGCUCAGUCGGUCCGGGAGCUCUGCAGGGUGUGCGGGAUGUCGCAGGGAUGUACGGGGGUAGUACAUGGCGUGCGGAGCGGGUCAGGCCGUGCGGAGGUGUACGGGGGUAGUACAGGGCGUGCGGAGCAGCUCAGGCUGUGCGGGGCCGGUGCAGGGUGUGCAGGAUGUCACAGGGGUAUAUGGGGGUAGUCCGUGACGUGCGAGGCGGCUUGGGGUGUGCGCGAUGUUACAGGGUGUACGGGGUAGUACGUGGCGUGCGGAGGUGGCGCAGGGCAGUGCGGGGACAGGGGACACCCGUCGCUGGCGGGAGGUUGGUGGCGGUGAGGGGAACAUGGCACGCAGCGCUGUGAGGGGCCAGGGCACUGCCGAGCCCUGCUCUGUUCCCGGGCAGCGCCGACACCCCGCGUACCGGGCUGGAAUGGCCUUCAGAGCACGGACCAUCCCGCCCCGCUGCUCUGGAACUGGCAGGGGUGACACCUGGCAGCUCCCUCCUGUCACAGCUGCCGUCACCUCCCGUGCGUGUGACAGCACCGGCCUCUCUCCCUGACUGCAGCCCGUGAGUCCCUGGGCCGGAGAAAGCCGAAAGCUUGGCCAUCCUGCAUCUUCUUCGAAGUACAAACAUACCCAGUCCAGACUCAGAAUGAGCUACAGCAACUGGAUAAAUCUACUGCGACCAUAAAGAAUUCAAGUGGUUAAUUUGAGUUAGAAGUCUCUCUGCAGGUGGAAUGCCUCCUGUCCCUCAAGUGGCUCAGCGGAUCAGCCAGGAGGAAAACCAACAGCAAAAUGGACCAAAUUUGUCAAAUCUGCUUGAUUCCUUCCCUGCUGCACACAGCAGGAACCCAGCUCUGCCCCAGCAGGUACAACCAGCAGGAUGGCAUAAGAACCAUGUGCUUGUGGUCCCAGCUCCAGUUCCCUCACAACAACAGCACACAGACUGGUCUCUAUUUGAUGUGACUGGGAUGGAAAACCAAAUCACUUGCUAUGAAGGACAAGUGCUGCCAAAACUGAAGGUAACUGGAAAGCUUAUUGAGGAGAUCUUCUGCUCCCCUUCGUCACCCAGACUUGAGCCAGUGAAGCUCCAACCAAACAGGUAUGCAGGGUUUUUUUUGCAUAAGCUUUAUCUGAUCACAAUAGAUUCAGAGAAGAAUUUUGAAUUUAAUAUUCCAGAAGAAAGAGACAACUGA